rnacentral:rRNA from 1 species
GAUGAACGCUAGCGGCAGGCUUAAUACAUGCAAGUCGUGGGGCAGCAGGUUUGUAGCAAUACAGAUGCUGGCGACCGGCAAACGGGUGCGGAACACGUACAGAACCUUCCUUUGAGCGGGGAAUAGCCCAGAGAAAUUUGGAUUAAUACCCCAUAGUAUAAUGAAGUGGCAUCACUUUAUUAUUAAAGAUUUAUCACUCGAAGAUGGCUGUGCGGCUGAUUAGGUAGUUGGCGGGUAAAGGCCCACCAAGCCUGCGAUCAGUAACUGGUGUGAGAGCACGACCAGUCACACGGGCACUGAGACACGGGCCCGACUCCUACGGGAGGCAGCAGUAAGGAAUAUUGGUCAAUGGAGGCAACUCUGAACCAGCCAUGCCGCGUGGAGGAUGAAGGUCCUCUGGAUUGUAAACUUCUUUAUAUGGGACGAAAAAAGGCUUUUCUAAGUCGUCUGACGGUACCAUAUGAAUAAGCACCGGCUAACUCCGUGCCAGCAGCCGCGGUAA